AGCAGCCGCGGUAAUUCCAGCUCCAAUAGCGUAUAUUAAAGUUGUUGCAGUUAAAAGCUCGUAGUUGAAUUUCGGGACCAAUUUGUUGGUCGUGCCUCGGUACGUACUGGUAUUAUUGGUUUCUCCCUUCUGAAGAACCUCGAUGCCAUCAAUUUGGUGUCGUGGGGAAUCAGGACUGUUACUUUGAAAAAUUAGAGUGUUUAAAGCAAGCAUACGCUUGAAUACAUUAGCAUGGAAUAAUGAAAUAGGACGUUUGAUUCUAUUUUGUUGGUUUCUAGGAUCGACGUAAUGAUUAAUAGGGAUAGUUGGGGGCAUUAGUAUUCAAUUGUCAGAGGUGAAAUUCUUGGAUUUAUUGAAGACUAACUACUGCGAAAGCAUUUGCCAAGGAUGUUUUCAUUAAUCAAGAACGAAAGUUAGGGGAUCGAAGACGAUCAGAUACCGUCGUAGUCU
rnacentral:rRNA from 1 species